rnacentral:rRNA from 1 species
GAAACAUCUAAGUAGCUGCAGGAAAAGAAAUCAACCGAGAUUCCCUUAGUAGUGGCGAGCGAACGGGGACCAGCCCUUAAGUUGAUUUGAGAUUAGCGGAACGCUCUGGAAAGUGCGGCCAUAGUGGGUGAUAGCCCUGUACGCGAAAAUCUCUUAGUCAUGAAAUCGAGUAGGACGGAGCACGAGAAACUUUGUCUGAAUAUGG